rnacentral:rRNA from 1 species
UGGAGAGUUUGAUCCUGGCUCAGGACGAACGCUGGCGGCGUGCCUAACACAUGCAAGUCGAGCGGAGUAUGAAGCUUGCUUUGUUAACUUAGCGGCGGACGGGUGAGUAACACGUGGGCAACCUGCCUUAUGGAGGGGGAUAACACAGAGAAAUCUGUGCUAAUACCGCAUAAUACCGAGAGGUCGCAUGACCUGACGGUCAAAGAUUUAUCGCCAUAAGAUGGGCCCGCGGCGCAUUAGCUAGUUGGUGAGGUAACGGCUCACCAAGGCGACGAUGCGUAGCCGACCUGAGAGGGUGAUCGGCCACAUUGGGACUGAGACACGGCCCAGACUCCUACGGGAGGCAGCAGUGGGGAAUAUUGCACAAUGGGGGAAACCCUGAUGCAGCAACGCCGCGUGAGCGAUGAAGGCCUUCGGGUUGUAAAGCUCUGUCUUCGCUGACGAUAAUGACGGUAAGCGAGGAGGAAGCCACGGCUAACUACGUGCCAGCAGCCGCGGUA